UAAUCAGAUUGCAAUCUGUUUGGUUAUCUAUUGUGCACAAUAUUUGGCUUAAAUAUGGGAAAGGCAACUUUAACUCUGUACUUUGUACACUGGGUGCAUUUAGAGCAUCAGGUUGUCUAGUUUCUUACACUCAUUUUGUUUUCUGUGUGUAUGUUUUGUUUUAUAUACAGAUGUUCAAGCACUGGACAAAAUGUCUACAUGAAACAUUUCUCCGUUACAUCAGCCCAGGUGUUUUCCAGUUGGAGUACGUGUGUGUGUUUUGUGUAACUGCUGCUCUCAUAACUCGGUGUACCCGUGGAAAGGGAUUGUCCUUGGUGUUCCUGUUUGAACUAUAAACCUGGCUAUUUAAUACAAUGCUAUUAAAGAGUUUGAUAUCUGUUCUAUUAAUAAAGUUGUGACUGAUCUUA